ensembl:snoRNA
GUUCCCUCCUAUGCUUUGCCCACUGGAGGCUGUCUGUGUUUCUAGUGGCCAUAUCAGGGGGGUACAGUGAGCUACUCUUGCUAAAACCUGGGUCAGAGGUCACUUCUCUGUGCCUGGAUCCUGUCGCAAGACACACGC